UACGUAGGUGACCAGCGUUGUCCGGAUUUACUGGGCGUAAAGAGCGCGCAGGCGGUCGUUCAAGUCGAGUGUGAAAGCCCCCGGCUCAACUGGGGAGGGUCACUCGAUACUGAUCGACUUGAAGGCAGGAGAGGGAAGCGGAAUUCCCGGUGUAGUGGUGAAAUGCGUAGAUAUCGGGAGGAACACCAGUGGCGAAGGCGGCUUCCUGGCCUGUUAUUGACGCUGAGGCGCGAAAGCGAGGGGAGCAAACGGG
rnacentral:rRNA from 1 species